GAUGAAGAACGUAGCGAAAUGCGAUAAGUAAUGUGAAUUGCAGAAUUCAGUGAAUCAUCGAAUCUUUGAACGCACAUUGCGCUCCCUGGUAUUCCGGGGAGCAUGCCUGUUCGAGCGUCAUUACAACCCUCAAGCUCUGCUUGGUCUUGGGCGUCACCGGUCCCCGGUGUGCCUUAAAAUCAGUGGCGGCGCCAUCUGGCUCUAAGCGUAGUACAUACUCUCGCUACAGACGUCCGGUGGAUGCUGGCCAGCAACCCCCAAUUUAUCAAGGUUGACCUCGGAUCAGGUAGGGAUACCCGCUGAACUUAAGCAUAUCAAUAAGCGGAGGA
rnacentral:misc_RNA from 1 species